UUGGACCUACGGGAGGCAGCAGUCGGGAAUAUUGCGCAAUGGAGGAAACUCUGACGCAGUGACGCCGCGUAUAGGAAGAAGGUUUUCGGAUUGUAAACUAUUGUCCACAGGGAAGAUAAAAGACUGUACCUGUGAAGAAAGCUCCGGCUAACUACGUGCCAGCAGCCGCGGUAAUACGUAGGGAGCAAGCGUUAUCCGGAAUUAUUGGGUGUAAAGGGUGCGUAGACGGGAUAACAAGUUAGUUGUGAAACCCCUCGGCUCAACUGAGGAACUGCAACUAAAACUAUUAUUCUAGAGUAUGGGAG
rnacentral:rRNA from 1 species